UACGAGGGGGGCAAGCGUUGUUCGGAAUUAUUGGGCGUAAAGGGCGCGUAGGCGGUUUGUCGCGUCUGCUGUGAAAACCCGAGGCUCAACCUCGGGCCUGCAGUGGGUACGGGCAGACUAGAGUGCGGUAGGGGAGAUUGGAAUUCCUGGUGUAGCGGUGGAAUGCGCAGAUAUCAGGAGGAACACCAAUGGCGAAGGCAGAUCUCUGGGCCGUAACUGACGCUGAGGAGCGAAAGCAUGGGGAGCGAACAGG
rnacentral:rRNA from 1 species